UAAUGUAUCGGAACGUGCCCAGUCUGGGGGAGUAACUGCUCGAAAGAGCAGCUAAUACCGCAUACGACCUGAGGGUGAAAGCGGGGGAUCGCAAGACCUCGCGCGAUUGGAGCGGCCGAUAUCAGAUUAGGUAGUUGGUGAGGUAAGGGCUCACCAAGCCGACGAUCUGUAGCUGGUCUGAGAGGACGACCAGCCACACUGGGACUGAGACACGGCCCAG
rnacentral:rRNA from 1 species